UUCCUGAGCAGACAAGUGCUGCUGACUUGCAUGGGAGUUCUCAGAUUGCCAUGAAAGCCUCAACAACCAAUUGGAAGGAAUCCUACUGUUCUUCAGGACAUGUAGGACUCAGCAGACAGAGGUCAAAUAAACUUUUUUAUUUUGCUCUGCCAAGACAACUGGGUCAGUGAAUGAAGCAGGCAAAGAAUUGAAGAGAUGCAUUCAAGUUGUAAGUGCCUCAAGAUGCACAUAGUGAAUUAUUAUACUGUUGGUCUAUCCUGAAAGCUUUAUGAGUAGUUCUGCAUCCUGAUUUGUUAAAGGAAGAUAAAACCACAUUAAAAGUCAAGCUGAAAGGUACAAAAAUCCAUUACUGCUUUGUUUUUCAUAUUUAUGAAGCACUGAACUGUAGAGUACUCUAAUGAUAGCUUGUAUUAAUUUUAACAAAU